rnacentral:tRNA from 16 species
CGGUGAUUGGCGCAGCCUGGUAGCGCACUUCGUUCGGGACGAAGGGGUCGAGGUUCGAAUCCUCUAUCACCGACCA